rnacentral:rRNA from 1 species
UACAGAGGUCCCAAGCGUUGUUCGGAUUCAUUGGGCGUAAAGGGUGCGUAGGCGGCGCGGUAAGUCGGGUGUGAAAUCUCGGAGCUUAACUCCGAAACUGCAUUCGAUACUGCCGUGCUUGAGGACUCGAGAGGAGACUGGAAUUUACGGUGUAGCGGUGAAAUGCGUAGAUAUCGUAAGGAAGACCAGUGGCGAAGGCGGGUCUCUGGACAGUUCCUGACGCUGAGGCACGAAGGCCAGGGGAGCAAUCGGG